rnacentral:rRNA from 1 species
UACGGAGGAUCCGAGCGUUAUCCGGAUUUAUUGGGUUUAAAGGGUGCGUAGGCGGGUGAUUAAGUCAGUGGUGAAAGUUUGCGGCUCAACCGUAAAAUUGCCAUUGAAACUGAUUAUCUUGAGUGCAAAUGAGGUAGGCGGAAUGUGUUGUGUAGCGGUGAAAUGCUUAGAUAUAACACAGAACUCCGAUUGCGAAGGCAGCUUACUGGGAUGCAACUGACGCUGAGGCACGAAAGCGUGGGGAUCAAACAGG